rnacentral:rRNA from 1 species
AACGAACGCUGGCGGCAGGCCUAACACAUGCAAGUCGAGCGAGGACUUCGGUCCUAGCGGCGGACGGGUGAGUAACGCGUGGGAACGUGCCCUUUGCUUCGGAAUAGCCCUGGGAAACUGGGAGUAAUACCGGAUGAGCCCUUUGGGGGAAAGAUUUAUCGGCGAAGGAUCGGCCCGCGUUGGAUUAGGUAGUUGGUGGGGUAAUGGCCUACCAAGCCGACGAUCCAUAGCUGGUUUGAGAGGAUGAUCAGCCGCACUGGGACUGAGACACGGCCCAGACUCCUACGGGAGGCAGCAGUGGGGAAUCUUAGACAAUGGGGGAAACCCUGAUCUAGCCAUGCCGCGUGAGCGAUGAAGGCCUUAGGGUUGUAAAGCUCUUUCAGCUGGGAAGAUAAUGACGGUACCAGCAGAAGAAGCCCCGGCUAACUCCGUG